AGAGCCCAGCAGAAGAAAAACACUAUAACACACAUGAUAGCUUUCACCCUGAUGGCUCAUUAAAAAUAAAUAAGCGCUUAGUUUUAUUUCUGCAGUAACACAUUUUAGCAGACCUUUUAUAAAGUAUACAUACGGAUCUAAACCAUAUUUGCAAAAACUGGAUGGGAAGAGCAGUUUGUAGAGCCAAGCACUGCCCGGCUAGCAACCGCUUCCUUCCAGGUUGCCCGUAAAGCCAUAGUGUGUCCUCUGUGCUUGCGCAUUUAAGUGAGGGGCUUGAAUGACGCAGUGACAACUUGUUCCACCAGCCAUCCGCACACUGUGCAAGGGCAGAUUUGCCCCACUGGCUGAGCAGGGAAUUCAAUACUCUGGGUUCCCAUUAAUCUGCACACUGCUUGGAGCCUGCUCAGAAUGCUAAACUGUUCCUUUCCUUGUGAUUUUUCCUGUGGUGCUUGUGUGGAAUGUUUCACAAAUACUGAGGAACGUCUUUCCAGUCCCUGUGAAAUCAGAGGGUCACGAUCCCCAUUUUGCGCACACAGAAUUGUGAUGCAAAGGGAUGAAUGAAAACAUAAAUACCCACAGACUGGAGAAGCUCACCUUACAAAACCUGCUUUUGUUUUUCAGACUACAAAGUCCUUUCCUUCUGCCCCUUGACCAGUGGUCACAAGCCAAGGGAUAUUCGCCUCUCUUCCAACAUAGCCAGAUUUUCAUGUGUUGAUGGUUUAAUGCUGGACGUGGUGAUGCUCGGUAAGUUUUCUUUUUCUUAUGAUCUGAGCAAAAUCCUUUAAUGAUGCCAGGAAUUGCCCAGAGUACGGUGGAAGAGCCCUGCGGUCAGUCUGCCUGAGGCUCCUUGCAGGGCUGGACUAGCCAGCUAGGCUGCGCAGACCCCCCAGGUGCCCUCCCAGAAGAGAUGGGCUCUCCCACCUUAGUUUGAGAGGCUCCAGGACCCUCCCAACCUCACUUAAUGCAGAUAGGAUCUCAUUUGCCCAGAUGAGAGGUGCAGGAAACAGCUGGACACCCCUGCUCUGAGCUGACACCCCCUUCCCUCCAGGGCAGCACAUCAGGGCAUGUGUGUGCAAAGCAAAAGCAUUCCAGUAUGGAUGUUGCACACCUUUGCUGUGUUGUGUGUCCCUCUCUCCUCACACACCCUUUUUUAUCUCUCUUCUUCUUGGCACUGCUGAAAGGAGCCACAGGGCUGCACAACCACCCAGCACCAGCAAAAUGGCUCCCACCCCGCCAUGCUCUCAUUUUCCCUUGGUGUAAAACUGCCAGGGCUGCAGCCAGCUUUAAGUGUUAUGUAUCUUGUUUGUAGAGCUGAACCCGUGUCUGUGGACUGGUGGCUGGGACAGCUCUGAAAACAAACUAAUUCUGUUUUGUUCCCCUUUUUGAUAAAAGAAAACACUACCUCUCUGAGAUUUACACAGUAGAUCAAGCAUAAACCUGAAUUAUCUCCCUCUCCUUUUUUUUUUUUGCAGGAGUAGAUGAUAGGUAGAUCUAUCCAUCCAUCUGCUUUGUUACGCAUCACCCAGCUUGGCAGCGUUUCUGUUGCUAUUAACCACGUUCACCCCAUUGACAUUUAAAGGGCCGUUGUGUGAUUACUGUCACAGUCUUGUACGUGGAUCCUUAAACCAAUUCUCGCCUCCUCUUCCCUCUGAUGAUGGAUUUGCUUGUUUAUGCCACAGUAAUUUCUUUUUCUCGUGCUGCACUUCGGCAAACUGCUUUCACUGUCAAAUGUGGUUUUCUCUCCAGCCCUUCCUCGCGGUGCCAUGUUACAUCUGAGCAGCUCUGGGCAAAUUGGAGCUGCCUUGUCUUUCAGCAGUGUUAGCAAAAUGAAACAGCCUAUGCCUGCGGGAGCUGGAUCGCACCAGGGUUGGAUCCUCCUGUGUUCAGAGCUGCUGCGGCAGCAGGGCGAAGUGUGGCAGACCCCAUUGAUGGGGACACUGGCCACCACAGCUGUUUGGUUGCCCCCAUGCAGGAUGCCCCGUGGGACACAUGGGCAUUGGCUCCGCCGUGAGGACCACGUGGCAGUCAGGAGCAGGGAGUCAAGUCUUUCCAUAUCUUUGGGAGCUUCUUUUCCACUUCUUUUGAAUGGGGGUUGCAGCUCGUCCAUCAGGGUAGCAGUGUCCGUGCCACAAGCUGCUGCAGGAUGCUAACACCUUCCACCAACACGGAUCUCAGAGAUGAUGUUUCUUUGCUGUAUGUGCGCCUGCAGGACAAGACUCAAUGCCAGCAGUUGUUCAUCUGGUCCUCCCAUGAAGACUGUGAACAACCCGUCCCCUUGUGAGCAAAGGCAAGUCAUGGCAGCAAACUGGCAGCCAGACGCACGCCUGGAGCUGUGUUCACUGGAAUUAUCCUAAGGGAACUCCUUCGUCUUGAAUUCUGGGGAUCAGCACUGACACCCUCUUGCUUUGUAAACCCCACAGCCCCAGCUGUCUGCCAUCCUUGGCCAGGCACUGCCACCCCUCGCAGAGCCCCUGCACCCCGGCUGCCUCCCUGCUGCUCCAACGAGCUGUUUCACAUGGCCACAGCCAUGCAGAAGACACACUUCCAACUCAGGUGCCUUGGACAAGUUUGGUGCCCUUUGCAAUCUCCUUCUGUUAUAUUUC